GGCUCGGCGUCGGCGCCAUUAAGACGAGCGGGCGGCGGGCGGAGGGCUCGGGCAGGGGCCGCCAGCGGGGCCGGCGCCGCGGCGGGGAAGCGGAGCCGGGGGCGGCGGCGGCGCCAUGUCGGAGCAGCAGUUCGCCGUGGACGCGGCCGGCGGCGGGGGCGGCCCGGCGGAGCAGCCGGAACAGCCCGAGGGGCUGCCGGGGGCCGGCGCGGGGGGCGCCGACGGGGCUGGCGGCGGCGGCGGCGGGGGCGAGUCGGAGGGAGCCAAGAUCGACGCCAGCAAGAACGAGGAGGACGAGGGGAAAAUGUUCAUUGGCGGCCUUAGCUGGGACACUACAAAGAAAGACCUGAAGGACUAUUUCUCUAAAUUUGGCGAAGUUGUAGACUGCACUCUGAAGUUAGACCCCAUCACUGGGCGAUCGAGAGGCUUCGGCUUUGUACUCUUCAAAGAAUCGGAGAGCGUAGAUAAGGUCAUGGACCAGAAAGAACACAAGCUGAAUGGGAAGGUCAUUGAUCCUAAAAGAGCGAAAGCCAUGAAAACAAAAGAACCCGUCAAAAAGAUUUUUGUUGGGGGCUUAUCUCCAGACACACCUGAAGAGAAAAUAAGGGAAUACUUUGGAGGUUUUGGUGAGGUUGAGUCUAUAGAGCUCCCCAUGGACAACAAAACUAACAAGAGGCGUGGAUUUUGCUUCAUUACUUUCAAGGAGGAGGAACCAGUGAAGAAAAUAAUGGAAAAGAAAUACCACAACGUUGGGCUUAGUAAAUGUGAAAUAAAAGUAGCCAUGUCAAAGGAACAGUACCAGCAGCAGCAGCAGUGGGGGAGCAGAGGAGGAUUUGUCGGAAGAGCUCGAGGAAGAGGCGGCGGCCCCAGUCAAAACUGGAACCAGGGAUACAGCAACUACUGGAAUCAGGGGUAUGGGAACUAUGGCUACAACAGCCAAGGGUACGGAGGUUACGGAGGAUAUGACUACACUGGUUACAACAACUACUACGGAUAUGGUGACUAUAGCAAUCAGCAGAGUGGUUAUGGGAAAGUAUCUCGGCGAGGUGGUCAUCAAAAUAGCUACAAACCAUACUAAAUUAUUCCGUUCGCAACUUACCCUGAACAGCGGGAACUUCAUUGCAGGCCCUGUGUCGCGCUGACUUCACGAUUCUCACAGGCCCGCUCAAUGCGGACAGGGUACGAGAUGCUCACGCUCUCGAAUGCUGCCGUUUGGUGCAGCAGCAGUAUUUUCUCAUGGGAAGAGUCAUUUGGGGCGGCACAUGCUGCCUGCUAAUAGCAGUUCAGACUAAUUUUUGUAUCAAGUCCAUGAUGGGAAGUAAGCCGUGGGGUCCCCCUGAAGUUUAAUUGAGUGCUCGUUAAGGCAAAAUGGCUUUCACACCGUCUUAUUUCUUAACCACGAUGCUUACCGAUCGCUUUGUUUUACGCCCCUCCCUCUGUACCGUAGCGCGAGUCCUGUGUUGAAGCCCCGUGUGGCAGUGUCCUGCUGUAGUGGUGUCGGGCCGGUUUUUUAAUAAAUCUUUUUGUACGAA